rnacentral:rRNA from 1 species
AAUUCACACAACAAAAUUGUUCGCCAGAGGACUACUAGCAACAGCUUAAAACUCAAAGGACUUGGCGGUGCUUUAUAUCCCUCUAGAGGAGCCUGUUCUAUAAUCGAUAAACCCCGAUAAACCUCACCGUUUCUGGCUAAUUCAGUCUAUAUACCGCCAUCUUCAGCAAACCCUUAAAAGGAACAAAAGUAAGCAUAAUUAUAAGACAUAAAAAAGUUAGGUCAAGGUGUAACCUAUGGAACGGAAAGAAAUGGGCUACAUUUUCUUCAACAAGAACAUCCUAAAGUCCACGAAAGACUCUAUGAAACCAAGAGACAGAAGGAGGAUUUAGUAGUAAAUUAAAAAUAGAGAGCUUAAUUGAAUUGGGCCAUGAAGCACGCACACACCGCCCGUCACCCUCCUCAAGUAACUCUUCCUAAACAUAACAUAUUAUUCCUCACCAAUACAAGAGGAGAUAAGUCGUCAACAAGGUAAGUAUACUGGAAAGUGUGCUUGGAUUAAC